GGCCUAACACAUGCAAGUCGAGCGGUAGAGAGAAGCUUGCUUCUCUUGAGAGCGGCGGACGGGUGAGUAAUGCCUAGGAAUCUGCCUGGUAGUGGGGGAUAACGCUCGGAAACGGACGCUAAUACCGCAUACGUCCUACGGGAGAAAGCAGGGGACCUUCGGGCCUUGCGCUAUCAGAUGAGCCUAGGUCGGAUUAGCUAGUUGGUGAGGUAAUGGCUCACCAAGGCGACGAUCCGUAACUGGUCUGAGAGGAUGAUCAGUCACACUGGAACUGAGACACGGUCCAGACUCCUACGGGAGGCAGCAGUGGGGAAUAUUGGACAAUGGGCGAAAGCCUGAUCCAGCCAUGCCGCGUGUGUGAAGAAGGUCUUCGGAUUGUAAAGCACUUUAAGUUGGGAGGAAGGGCAUUAACCUAAUACGUUAGUGUUUUGACGUUACCGACAGAAUAAGCACCGGCUAACUCUGUGCCAGCAGCCGCGGUAAUACAGAGGGUGCAAGCGUUAAUCGGAAUUACUGGGCGUAAAGCGCGCGUAGGUGGUUCGUUAAGUUGGAUGUGAAAUCCCCGGGCUCAACCUGGGAACUGCAUUCAAAACUGUCGAGCUAGAGUAUGGUAGAGGGUGGUGGAAUUUCCUGUGUAGCGGUGAAAUGCGUAGAUAUAGGAAGGAACACCAGUGGCGAAGGCGACCACCUGGACUGAUACUGACACUGAGGUGCGAAAGCGUGGGGAGCAAACAGGAUUAGAUACCCUGGUAGUCCACGCCGUAAACGAUGUCAACUAGCCGUUGGGAGCCUUGAGCUCUUAGUGGCGCAGCUAACGCAUUAAGUUGACCGCCUGGGGAGUACGGCCGCAAGGUUAAAACUCAAAUGA
rnacentral:rRNA from 1 species